AUACGUAGGUGGCAAGCGUUGUCCGGAAUUAUUGGGCGUAAAGCGCGCGCAGGCGGUCCUUUAAGUCUGAUGUGAAAGCCCACGGCUCAACCGUGGAGGGUCAUUGGAAACUGGGGGACUUGAGUGCAGAAGAGGAAAGUGGAAUUCCAAGUGUAGCGGUGAAAUGCGUAGAGAUUUGGAGGAACACCAGUGGCGAAGGCGACUGUCUGGUCUGUAACUGACACUGAGGCGCGAAAGCGUGGGGAGCAAACAGGAUUAGAUUCCCUGGUAGUCCACGCCGUAAACGAUGAGUUCUAAGUGUUGGGGGGUUUCCGCCCCUCAGUGCUGCAGCUAACGCAUUAAGCACUCCGCCUGGGGAGUACGGUCGCAAGACUGAAACUCAAAGGAAUUGACGGGG
rnacentral:rRNA from 1 species